rnacentral:rRNA from 1 species
AUUGAACGCUGGCGGCAGGCCUAACACAUGCAAGUCGAACGAGUGGCGGACGGGUGAGUAAUGUCUGGGAAACUGCCUGAUGGAGGGGGAUAACUACUGGAAACGGUAGCUAAUACCGCAUACCAUCGGAUGUUCCCAGAUGGGAUGAGCUAGUGGGUGGGGUAAAGGCUCACCUAGGCGACGAUCCCUAGCUGGUGUGAGAGGGUGACCAGCCAAGCUGGAACUGAGACACGGUCCAGACCCCUACGGAGGGAAGCGGUGGGGAAUAUUGCACAAUGGGCGCAAGCCUGAUGCAGCAAUGCCGCGUGUAUGAAGAAGGCCUUCGGGUUGUAAAGUACUUUCAGCGGGGAGGCGUUACCCGCAGAAGAAGCACCGGCUAACUCCGUGCCAGCAGCCGCGGUAAUUC